GGUAAUAAUUACCAACAGAGAAAACCCUUCAAGGAGAGUUGCUGCUUUUCCUAAGGGCUUCCAAGGAUCCAAAAACCUUCAGAAGUCCCAAGGAUCAAGUCCCAGGAUCUAAGCUGGACCUUUCCUGGAACAAAUUCCUUCAGACAAAUUCUCCACCAGACCAUCAACUCAGGAGGGCAAACAAGGAGCUUGUUUUCAAGAGCUGGAGCCAAACCACCCAGAGUUUCCUGUGCCAGGUACUGAAGACACACCACCACUGCAGAUACAGCUAGUCACUGUGCCAGCAGGAUAGAGAGCUCUGGAAGAUCUAGAAAGAACAACUGAGACCCUGGUCCACAAGGGACACACAGCACUUACACUAACAGCUCCUCAGCCAGAACUAGUCACAAGUCUCCAGCCAACUAAAAGAAAGACCAGGACAAAGAGCUAAUCUGGAAGGCAAAGAGCCAGAAAUAUUUGGUGAGUGGAAAUAGUGACUGUGACAGGAAACAAGCCCUUUUUGACCCUCUCCAUCAAUUCAUAGAUUUCAGUCAUAAAUUGAAUUCCUUUUGACCCCUAAAGAGUUUUUCUAAAGAGGGUAAAAGUCAAUUGAUUAUCCUAGGCUCACUGACGCAACAAGAUUGUCUUAAACAUGAUUUCUUUCUUGAUUUUAGCUCCAUGGUUAGGAUUUCACUUUCAAAAGAUUAAUAAUAAGGUGAUGAUGAUGAUAUUUUACUCAGCACUUUCCACAUUUAUUUUCUGGAUCUCAGGCAUAGAGCCAUAAGUGAAUCACAUCUCUGAUUUUAUA
rnacentral:lncRNA from 1 species